UCUCCGUAGGUGAACCUGCGGAGGGAUCAUUACAAGUGACCCCGGUCUUACCACCGGGAUGUUCAUAACCCUUUGUUGUCCGACUCUGUUGCCUCCGGGGCGACCCUGCCUUCGGGCGGGGGUUCCGGGUGGACACUUCAAACUCUUGCGUAACUUUGCAGUCUGAGUAAACUUAAUUAAUAAAUUAAAACUUUUAACAACGGAUCUCUUGGUUCUG
rnacentral:misc_RNA from 1 species